rnacentral:rRNA from 1 species
CCCCGAACAGUCGCGUUGUUUGGGAAUGGGGCGCAAGAUGGGUGGUAAAUUCCAUCUUAAGCUAAAUAUUGGCGAGAGACAGAUAGCGAACAAGUACCGUGAGGGAAAGAUGAAAAGCGCUUUGGAAAGAGAGUUUAAACAUUACGUGAAAUUGAUGAAAGGGAAACGCUUGAUGUCAGUCACGUCGCACGUAACUCAGCCUGGUCGUGUCCUGGUGUACUUUCCGUGUGAAGGGUCAACAUCAAUUUCGGGCGGCGGACAAGGGCGAGGGGAAUGUUGCGUCGCUUCCCCCGCCCUGUUAUAGCCCCUUGUCGAAUACGCCAUAACAGAAAUGAGGACCGCAAUGCGCCCUUGUGGCCCGGUGUUCGCCCCACGUCACCCGCUUACGAUGUUGGCAUAAUGUCUUUAAGCGACCCGUCUUGAAACCGCGCACCAUAGGAGUCUGUACAUGCUGGGCGAGUGUUCAGGUUCCAAAAACCGUUGCGCGAAAUUGAAAGUGAUAUUUGGAGAGCCUCCUCUAAAUGGGUGGCACCGACACCCGGCGUCUAAAAUUUCUCUGAAUAUGCUGAAGGAAAAACAAAAGUGUUGGGAACGUGUAAUAUCGGUAAUGAUGCCUGAAUGCGUGCUAAGCCUUAGGAAUCUCUGGAGUAGGCUCGGAAGUAAUUUUUGACGGUGCUAAUCUAUGGUCA